rnacentral:lncRNA from 1 species
AUAAUGAGUUAUUAGAAACGUUAUCCAAAUUCUAGCUCUCUAUCUCUUAGAACUUUACUUGGAUGAUAAUUUUGUGAUGACAAAUUAUUGAGGAAGAAUCCGAGAAAUGAGACCAUAUCACAACAUUCACUGUUGCUACAUUUUAAUUCCACGAGGUUACUAGGAAACUACCUUCUAUUUGAUUGGUUUCUUUUCUACGGUGGGAUGGAUCAAACAGGGAAACUUCCAUUUCUUUUCCUUCAUCCUCUCCUAUAAAAUGAGACCUAAUCUUCGACUCGUUUAUACUUAAAUCAGUGUCUACAAUACAGCAAAACAACGUAAAAUAUUUCUUUCCGACAUCAUAAUGGUUCCCAAGAAGGCAAUUCUCUACCUUCUCUAUCUUUGUUCAUAAUAUACGACGCUGCUUCCAUGGUGAUGGUGACUGCUACCGUCUCCAAUGACAUCAGUAAGUUAUCCUUUCUAGCAUCUCAAAAUUUUUACAUUAAUGGAAACUAAUUCGGUAGUGCAUGUGGUUCAUGCAGCUCAAGCAACAGUAGAGAAAAAUAAAGUGCAUAUGAUUUCCGAUGUUGCGCAGCCUGUUCGCCAUCGUCCAAUUCCAGGCACUCCAGUUCCGAAACACCUGAAAAUCGUCUUCCUUGCUGUUGGAGAAGAUGUCUCUUGUUGCUGCUUUGCUGCAGAGGAUGCUAAGAAAAUCGGAUAUUGGCCCUAUAAUUAGUGAGUUCCAUUCACUUUAUUAUCAACUAGAUUUGAUAGAAUUGAGGGAAAAAAAAAAGGUUCAAAUAUCGUGUGUUGGGUGCAAACGCCCAUGUUUGGCCCCCAUUUUGUGGAAAUGAAAAUGGGUGGAAUCGUAUUUAUUUGAAAAAUAAGUGAUUGAAAAUAAAGAAAAAAGUUUUCUAUUUACAUAUAAUAUUAUUUUACAGAAGAUUGUGUGAUUGAAAAUAAGAAAGAGAGAAAUGGAAUGUAAUGGAAUGAGAAUUAUUGGGGGCCAAACGGGGGCUAAAAACUAACUGAAUCCGUUUUAAAUAAACAACUUUUCCUUGGUCAAAGUUGAUUUUAAGGGUCUUACAUUAAAGUUAUUAUAAAUAAUUACCUUACCAUCAAACAUAAAAAAAAUUUAAAAAAAAAAAAUCUGAUUUUUAAUAUAAUUGAACAAAGACAAAAUAUAGGCACUACCCAAUGUCAUGUCAUGUUCUCGCUAUUCAACAUCAUUUUCCCACAAGAAAUUUCAUGGUGCAAUCCUCCUCAAUUAUGAUUAAAUAAUCAUAAAUUCAAAUUAAAUAAAUACAUGUUUUAACUUCAAAAAUGAGUAUAAUAUUUUUUAUUUGAUACAUUAAAUGUUUGACAUAGAUUCACAUAGAUACUUUUCUUUACAUCUUUAUAACACUCAUUUCUAUUAUGAGUUAUAGCCUUAUUGAAAAGAGAUCUAUGAUCGUUUACGAUUUUUCAAAACAUUUGAAUUAACAUUUGUUAAGAAAAUAUUGAAGAUGACAAUUAACAAACUUGUUGCACAAUUACCUUCUUUACUUAUUCUCCAUACAAAAGAUUAUUUAUUUCUAAAGGGCAUAGUUAUAAUAAGAAGUAUAUUUAAUUUAAAGAGUAAUUUUCACAUAAACUCCGACGAGCUCUUUAUUUUAUUUUUUUCAAAAAUCACUUAUUAUUUUCUCUUUUAUGAUAUAUAUAUGUCAAUGACGAAUAAAUUUAAAAAUGGUUUGAAUAAUUCAAAUUAAUAUAGCAUCAAAAAAAUUACAGCUUAUUAGAUGCCAUCAUCAUAGUUUUUAGACCUGACCCGAUCAAGGUACAGGAUCAUCGGGUUACCGGCGGUCGAACAGGUAAAUUGAUGGUCGGACUAAUGGGUCAUUACUUAAAAAUAAUUUAAUUGUUUUUAAAGUAUAAUUUUAUAUUUUUUGUUUGAGACGAUUAAAAUUUUCAAGUUCUUUGUCACUAAUUAUUUUUAUACCUUUAAAUUAAUAAUUUUUUGAACUCAUUUAUUAGUGAUAAUGAUUACAUUGGCAAGUUCAUGCUCUAGUUACCCAUAGGUCAAGUGUUCAAAUUUUUUGUCCUAAAAAUUUCAAUGAAAAAAAGUUUUAAAAUUUGGUUAAAAAAUUAACUAGGCCAGACCGGACUGAUAAUUGUAUAAAACCAUCUAAUUGACCCGGUCAAAUCUGAUUUUUGUCCAAACCACUUGUAUUUGCAUAAUAUGAUAAUGUAUGGCCCUGCCCAGGGUCCGGGUCACAAGUUUGCUGAGCUGAUUUUAAUAACAAUGACCAUCAUUAUAAAGUAUAAAUAGAAAAUGGAUAUGACUCUUCAAAUUUGAAGAGUCAAACACACUAUUUUAAAAAGUUAAAAUAGGUAGUUUAGGGUAUUUUCAAGAGAAUCUUUAUUUAUAAAUAACAUCUUAUGUAUAUUAAAAAUCAUCUUUAAAUUUAGAGGGUAAAAUUAGUGCACUACAAAUUACUCGACAGUAAUUCAAAAGGUUGCCCUAUUGGGGUUUUACUUUUUUCAAGAAAUAUAAAAUAUUUGUUGCUUUGUCAUCAUAUUUUAUAGAGUAAUGUUAUUUAACCCUAUUGGGAUUGCAACCCCAUUUUAGGUGGAUCUAAUGUGUCAUUAAUUGAUAGGUAAAAUUAAAUAACUCAUUUAAUGUGUUUAACCUAUCAAUUAGUGCCACCUAAACUAGGGUUAUAAUCUCAAUGGGCUACAUAGUAUUAUUCUAUUUUAUAUAACAUGUUUUAAAUGUAAGUAUUGAAAUACAUAAAUUAUUAAUUAUAAACACUAUAAAGUAAGAAUAGAUAUUAUUUUUGGCCUCCUCUAUUUUGAAAUGUUAAAAUAGAUAUAUUAGAGUAUCUUUAAAGGAUUCUCUUUAUUUAUAAAUAGCAUCUUAUGUGAUCAUCUCUAAAUUUAGAGGGUAAAGUUUAAUGCACUCCAAAAAUGCUCUUUUCUUUGCCUCUUCAUUUUACAUUUUUCAAGAAAUAUUUAUUGUUCUGUCAUCAUAUUUUUUAAAUUUAAAUGAUCAAACAUAAUUUGAAUAAUUAUAGGAGUAAGUAUUGAAUCAUUGACUUUCUAAAUGGAAAGCAGAUUGUAUUUAAAGAGUCUUGAAAGUUAACAUAUUAGAGUAUAGUUUUGAAGAUUGACAGUUUAAAAUGGAUAAUAUCUUUUUUUUAAAAGUCUCUUGAUGUAAUGCUCUAACGCACCAAAUAGUUUUUAUUUGUCACGAUAUUGGAGUGUACGUAUCUUUGAAUGAUUCUAAGUAGAAUUAUCUUUGAUAGACUAUUCCUCUCAUAGAUAUCAAUUAUAUUUGAGUUUGUACAUGUGUGUUCGAUGCUAAGAAUAAAUGUUUCAAAAUUUAAAAAUUGAAUUAUCUUAAAUUUUAUUAAUAAAUUAAUUUAUUAAGCAUAUAUUUUGUUAAUUAGAUAUAUUAAGAUCACAAUUCUAAGCAAUUGGGUCACAAUUUAUGAAUUAACUAAUUAUAAAUUAAUUUUCGAUCACAACUUUCAAAUAUUGGUCGCAACUAUUUCUCGAUCACAAAUCAAAAUUUUUAUUCAUUACAGAUUAUUCAUGGGUCACAAAAUCAAACUUUUAUUAUUCCCAACUCAUUUAUUCAUUGCAAAUUAUUAAAUUAAUUUGCUCACAAUUAAUUUUUCAAUCACAACUUAAUCAAUUGUGAGUCACAAUCACAAUAUUUACGUCACAUAUUACAAAUUAACCAAUUAGUGAUCAUAAUCAACCAGAUAAUUGGUCACAACUCAUCCAACCACAUCUCAUCCCACCUACUACCAUCGGCACGAGAGCCACUAUCACCAUCACCAUUACAACCACAAGACCUUUCACAACCACAAAGCCACCUAGCUACCAACAAAACCUUUGCAACGUCACCCAACUAUCAACAAAAUCAUCUCCACCACUGCCACGAUUGCCACUCCAACAUAUAGAAACGAAAGCAAUGCAUGUUCCAUCACCCUCACCACCUGUAAAGCUACCACCGCAACCCAACAUUGCACAGCUACCAACACUGCAACCACUACAUAUUUUGUCCCACUCUGCCGCCACCAACAACCACAACCACCCAUUGUCUUCUUCAGCUCCGAUCUGCAGUAACCAUAAUCAAAUCGUAUCAACCAUGCCAUCCCACACACAAAGCAUCCGCCACAUUACCCACCAUAGCCACCAGUGACCAACAGCACCACCUCCACCUAACUAUCACUGCUAGCAUCAUUACCUCCACAGCCAAACCACAGAUUUAAAAUCAAAAGAAAAUCAUUGAUUCUCCGGUUAUAUCACCAGCAUCAUCACUGGCGAUCCAAAAUCAAAAGCAAAAUCACUGGCAUCAUCGUCAGUGACGAGCGAGCAGCAUCGACGAUUCUCCAGAGGAAUCAAAGCAGCUGCACUAGGAGAGAAGCCAGAAGAAGCACCGACUGGAGUAAACGCAAUAACCGCGCCAUCUAAACUCCACCACCGCACAAUCUCAGCCGCGUGCAGCGCCUUCGCCACUGCCUGAUUCGUGCAGCAACCACCAUCCCAAAACUUCGCAAGAACCCAAAAAAAUCAGAUUUUUCCCAGAUUGACACAGCCUGCCUCUCCACUACGGUGGUCUCCAACUUUUGCUUGAGACGGUUCUGAGAGAAAAAGGAGAAUAUGAAUUUGAUUAGGGUUUGGGGAGUGGUAGGAUGAAAUUUGUGUUAUAAUAUUUAUUAUUAAUAUUAAAAUUUUGAAUCAAUAUCAGAUUCUUGUACAAACAAACUUUGGAUCUGAUUUUUGAAGUUGGAUCUUUAAAAAUAUGGAUGGUGUAAUUAACUUUACG